rnacentral:lncRNA from 1 species
GAAAAGAUUUGAUUAUUGACAGUGAAUAAUUCAUAAAUGUGACAGUUAAGGAUAAUUCAGAUCUCACAAAUCUGUUCACCCUACUCUAGUCCCAACCCAUUUUAAUAUGUCUUUCUGGUCUAAUUGGGAUCUUGAAAAAUAGUACUUUGUUCACCAUUCUGCAAAUAAGAGGCAGCAUGUAGGCCAUGUCCUCAUUUCCCUGUUCUACAUUCAUUUGAAAAACAAAGGUUCCUCUGUAAAGAUUUGGUGCUGUCUCCAUUUUUCAAGAACUAUACCAAGAAAAAAUUUAAAUCCAGAGCUACAUAUUCUUCAAAGGAGAAGGAAAUCAGAAAGAAGGUAGUAUUUCUGAGGUGAUAACUGUGAAAAAAAGUAUACAAAAGGUGAAUCCCUUUUUACUCUGGAAAAUCAGAUGUCUUAUAACACUGCUCAUACUGUCUGAUUUCUUGAAGUGUGCUUGAUAAACCUACCAGAACUACCAGUUUUGGGGGACGU